rnacentral:lncRNA from 1 species
GAUACCAUCCAGAGGCAGGCAGUGGAGUGGGGCCUCUCUUUGGAAGUCAGCAUUUCUACUAAAACUUUUGCUGUGAACCGUUCCACUUGCCCAUACUUCACAGCCGUUACAGUUGUGCCCGCAGCUCUGCAAAAGGAACUUACAUUGAUGAGAAGGAACUGCUGAUGAGAAUUCCUACAUCAGGGAAAUCCUUUUCUAGGCACUUUCAUACUUGGAGUUGGUCAAAGACUAUACCAGAAGUUCUGUUCUUCCAAAACCUUGCGUGGUACCGCACCCAGUUCUGCUGCAACAACUCAACUCCCAAGACAAAUGCCAGCUCUAUCUCAGUGGAUGAUAUUCUCCCUUGCUACUUGCAGCAUGUUCCCAGAAACAGAAGUGCAUCUCAGCUUUGAUAUUUUAUCAGACAGUGAACAGUGUUCUCAGUCUAAAAAGUACUUAUAAAACUAUGUAUAUCAGGACCAUCUGGAGCCCCCCACCAUAACAGUGCAAUAAAAUAUAUUUCCAAUUUAUAUUGUGGCAUUGUGCUUAUUAUAAGUUUAGUUCUUUCAGCAGAUGUAUAAACCAAUAACUUUCUUUGUGUUAAAUAUUCCCCAAAGAAAAGUAAAUUGACCUCUUCAGGGAUUUUCUGAGGAUCAGGAAAAUGUCCUUUCAGUAUCUGUUUUCCAU